CGUUAUAUGUGGGGGGGCUAGUGAUGCUAGCUGAGAUUGUAUUCUUGAAAUACUGACCCUUUGAACCUGAUCUGGUUGGCACCAGCGGAGGGAACAUUUCAUUAGAAUCA
rnacentral:ncRNA from 2 species